AUUGAACGCUGGCGGCAUGCCUUACACAUGCAAGUCGAACGGCAGCACGGGUGCUUGCACCUGGUGGCGAGUGGCGAACGGGUGAGUAAUACAUCGGAACAUGUCCUGUAGUGGGGGAUAGCCCGGCGAAAGCCGGAUUAAUACCGCAUACGAUCUACGGAUGACAGCGGGGGACCUUCGGGCCUCGCGCUAUAGGGUUGGCCGAUGGCUGUUUAGCUAGUUGGUGGGGUAAAGGCCUACCAAGGCGACGAUCAGUAGCUGGUCUGAGAGGACGACCAGCCACACUGGGACUGAGACACGGCCCAGACUCCUACGGGAGGCAGCAGUGGGGAAUUUUGGACAAUGGGCGAAAGCCUGAUCCAGCAAUGCCGCGUGUGUGAAGAAGGCCUUCGGGUUGUAAAGCACUUUUGUCCGGAAAGAAAUCCUUGGCACUAAUACGGUCGGGGGAUGACGGUACCGGAAGAAUAAGCACCGGCUAACUACGUG
rnacentral:rRNA from 1 species